UUGGAAGUAAAAGUCGUAACAAGGUCUCCGUAGGUGAACCAGCGGAGGGAUCAUUACUGA
rnacentral:rRNA from 1 species